AGUGAACGCUGGCGGUAGGCCUAACACAUGCAAGUCGAACGGCAGCACAGUAAGAGCUUGCUCUUACGGGUGGCGAGUGGCGGACGGGUGAGGAAUACAUCGGAAUCUACUUUUUCGUGGGGGAUAACGUAGGGAAACUUACGCUAAUACCGCAUACGACCUACGGGUGAAAGCAGGGGAUCUUCGGACCUUGCGCGAUUGAAUGAGCCGAUGUCGGAUUAGCUAGUUGGCGGGGUAAAGGCCCACCAAGGCGACGAUCCGUAGCUGGUCUGAGAGGAUGAAUCGGCCAAACUGAAACGAGAACAGGGUCCGGCUCCUUAGGGGAGGCAGCAGUGGGAAAUUUUGACAAUGGGCGCAAGCCUGAUCCAGCCAUACCGCGUGGGUGAAGAAGGCCUUCGGGUUGUAAAGCCCUUUUGUUGGGAAAGAAAAGCAGCAGGUUAAUACCCCGCUGUUCUGACGGUACCCAAAGAAUAAGCACCGGCUAACUUCGUG
rnacentral:rRNA from 1 species